rnacentral:rRNA from 1 species
UACGUAGGCAGCAAGCGUUGUUCGGAAUUACUGGGCGUAAAGAGUGUGUAGGCGGUGCUCUAAGUCUGUUGUGAAAUCUCCCGGCUUAACUGGGAGGGUGCGGCGGAGACUGGAGUGCUAGAGUGUGGGAGAGGUAAGCGGAAUUCCUGGUGUAGCGGUGAAAUGCGUAGAUAUCAGGAGGAACACCUGUGGUGUAGACAGCUUACUGGACCACGACUGACGCUGAGACACGAAAGCGUGGGUAGCAGACAGG